rnacentral:rRNA from 1 species
GAUGAACGCUGACAGAAUGCUUAACACAUGCAAGUCGAUUCGAUUUACCUUCGGGUAUUGAGGAUGGCGGACGGGUGAGUAACGCGUAAGGAACGUUGCCUCUUGGACUGGGACAACUGUUGGAAACGACAGCUAAUACCGGAUAUUAUGAGAUUCUCGCAUGAGAAACUUAUGAAAGCUAUAUGCGCCAAGAGAGAGCCUUGCGUUCCAUUAGCUAGGUUGGUGGGUAAUGGCCCACCAAGGCGACGAUGGAUAGCCGGCCUGAGA